rnacentral:rRNA from 1 species
AACGAACGCUGGCGGCAUGCCUAACACAUGCAAGUCGAACGAGACCUUCGGGCCUAGUGGCGCACGGGUGCGUAACGCGUGGGAACCUGCCCUUAGGUUCGGAAUAGCUCCCCGAAAGGGGUGCUAAUACCGGAUAAUGUCUUCGGACCAAAGAUUUAUCGCCUUUGGAUGGGCCCGCGUUGGAUUAGCUAGUUGGUAGGGUAAAAGCCUACCAAGGCGACGAUCCAUAGCUGGUCUGAGAGGAUGAUCAGCCACACUGGGACUGAGACACGGCCCAGACUCCUACGGGAGGCAGCAGUGGAGAAUAUUGGACAAUGGGCGAAAGCCUGAUCCAGCAAUGCCGCGUGAGUGAUGAAGGCCUUAGGGUUGUAAAGCUCUUUUACCCGGGAUGAUAAUGACAGUACCGGGAGAAUAAGCACCGGCUAACUCCGUG